GGGUUGUGAGGUUAAGCGACUAAGCGUACACGGUGGAUGCCCUGGCAGUCAGAGGCGAUGAAGGACGUGCUAAUCUGCGAUAAGCGCCGGUAAGGUGAUAUGAACCGUUAUAACCGGCGAUUUCCGAAUGGGGAAACCCAGUGUGAUUCGUCACACUAUCAUUAACUGAAUCCAUAGGUUAAUGAGGCGAACCGGGGGAACUGAAACAUCUAAGUACCCCGAGGAAAAGAAAUCAACCGAGAUUCCCCCAGUAGCGGCGAGCGAACGGGGAGGAGCCCAGAGCCUGAAUCAGCAUGUGUGUUAGUGGAAGCGUCUGGAAAGGCGCGCGAUACAGGGUGACAGCCCCGUACACAAAAGCGCAUGUGCUGUGAGCUCGAUGAGUAGGGCGGGACACGUGGUAUCCUGUCUGAAUAUGGGGGGACCAUCCUCCAAGGCUAAAUACUCCUGACUGACCGAUAGUGAACCAGUACCGUGAGGGAAAGGCGAAAAGAACCCCGGCGAGGGGAGUGAAAAAGAACCUGAAACCGUGUACGUACAAGCAGUGGGAGCACAGGUUUACCUGUGUGACUGCGUACCUUUUGUAUAAUGGGUCAGCGACUUAUAUUCUGUAGCAAGGUUAACCGUAUAGGGGAGCCGUAGGGAAACCGAGUCUUAACCGGGCGUUAAGUUGCAGGGUAUAGACCCGAAACCCGGUGAUCUAGCCAUGGGCAGGUUGAAGGUUGGGUAACACUAACUGGAGGACCGAACCGACUAAUGUUGAAAAAUUAGCGGAUGACCUGUGGCUGGGGGUGAAAGGCCAAUCAAACCGGGAGAUAGCUGGUUCUCCCCGAAAGCUAUUUAGGUAGCGCCUCGUGAAUUCAUCUCCGGGGGUAGAGCACUGUUUCGGCUAGGGGGCCAUCCCGGCUUACCAACCCGAUGCAAACUGCGAAUACCGGAGAAUGUUAUCACGGGAGACACACGGCGGGUGCUAACGUCCGUCGUGAAGAGGGAAACAACCCAGACCGCCAGCUAAGGUCCCAAAGUCAUGGUUAAGUGGGAAACGAUGUGGGAAGGCCCAGACAGCCAGGAUGUUGGCUUAGAAGCAGCCAUCAUUUAAAGAAAGCGUAAUAGCUCACUGGUCGAGUCGGCCUGCGCGGAAGAUGUAACGGGGCUAAACCAUGCACCGAAGCUGCGGCAGCGAACGUAUCACUUAAAGCGAUUCAGCGGGUUACGAUUGACGGAGCGAAGCGACGUCAAAGCGUAUACAAAGUCGAGUCGGUUUAAGGAUACGUUCGUUGGGUAGGGGAGCGUUCUGUAAGCCCGUGAAGGUGGCCUGUGAGGGUUGCUGGAGGUAUCAGAAGUGCGAAUGCUGACAUAAGUAACGAUAAAGCGGGUGAAAAGCCCGCUCGCCGGAAGACCAAGGGUUCCUGUCCAACGUUAAUCGGGGCAGGGUGAGUCGACCCCUAAGGCGAGGCCGAAAGGCGUAGUCGAUGGGAAACGGGUUAAUAUUCCCGUACUUGGUGUUACUGCGAAGGGGGGACGGAGAAGGCUAUGUUGGCCGGGCGACGGUUGUCCCGGUUUAAGCGUGUAGGUGUGUGUUCCAGGUAAAUCCGGUUCACUUUAACACUGAGGCGUGACGACGAGGCACUACGGUGCUGAAGCAACAAAUGCCCUGCUUCCAGGAAAAGCCUCUAAGCAUCAGGUAACACGAAAUCGUACCCCAAACCGACACAGGUGGUCAGGUAGAGAAUACCAAGGCGCUUGAGAGAACUCGGGUGAAGGAACUAGGCAAAAUGGUGCCGUAACUUCGGGAGAAGGCACGCUGACACGUAGGUGAAGUGAUUUACUCAUGGAGCUGAAGUCAGUCGAAGAUACCAGCUGGCUGCAACUGUUUAUUAAAAACACAGCACUGUGCAAACACGAAAGUGGACGUAUACGGUGUGACGCCUGCCCGGUGCCGGAAGGUUAAUUGAUGGGGUCAGCGCAAGCGAAGCUCCUGAUCGAAGCCCCGGUAAACGGCGGCCGUAACUAUAACGGUCCUAAGGUAGCGAAAUUCCUUGUCGGGUAAGUUCCGACCUGCACGAAUGGCGUAAUGAUGGCCAGGCUGUCUCCACCCGAGACUCAGUGAAAUUGAACUCGCUGUGAAGAUGCAGUGUACCCGCGGCAAGACGGAAAGACCCCGUGAACCUUUACUAUAGCUUGACACUGAACAUUGAGCCUUGAUGUGUAGGAUAGGUGGGAGGCUUUGAAGUGUGGACGCCAGUCUGCAUGGAGCCGACCUUGAAAUACCACCCUUUAAUGUUUGAUGUUCUAACGUGGACCCGUAAUCCGGGUUGCGGACAGUGUCUGGUGGGUAGUUUGACUGGGGCGGUCUCCUCCUAAAGAGUAACGGAGGAGCACGAAGGUUGGCUAAUCCUGGUCGGACAUCAGGAGGUUAGUGCAAUGGCAUAAGCCAGCUUGACUGCGAGCGUGACGGCGCGAGCAGGUGCGAAAGCAGGUCAUAGUGAUCCGGUGGUUCUGAAUGGAAGGGCCAUCGCUCAACGGAUAAAAGGUACUCCGGGGAUAACAGGCUGAUACCGCCCAAGAGUUCAUAUCGACGGCGGUGUUUGGCACCUCGAUGUCGGCUCAUCACAUCCUGGGGCUGAAGUAGGUCCCAAGGGUAUGGCUGUUCGCCAUUUAAAGUGGUACGCGAGCUGGGUUUAGAACGUCGUGAGACAGUUCGGUCCCUAUCUGCCGUGGGCGCUGGAGAACUGAGGGGGGCUGCUCCUAGUACGAGAGGACCGGAGUGGACGCAUCACUGGUGUUCGGGUUGUCAUGCCAAUGGCACUGCCCGGUAGCUAAAUGCGGAAGAGAUAAGUGCUGAAAGCAUCUAAGCACGAAACUUGCCCCGAGAUGAGUUCUCCCUGAGACUUAGAGUCUCCUGAAGGAACGUUGAAGACGACGACGUUGAUAGGCCGGGUGUGUAAGCGCAGCGAUGCGUUGAGCUAACCGGUACUAAUGAACCGUGAGGCUUAACCUUACAACGCCGAAG
rnacentral:rRNA from 1 species